rnacentral:rRNA from 1 species
UACGUAGGGGGCUAGCGUUGUCCGGAUUUAUUGGGCGUAAAGAGCGUGUAGGCGGCCAUGUAGGUCCGGUGUGAAAACUCGAGGCUUAACCUCGAGAUGUCAUCGGAAACCAUUUGGCUAGAGUCCGGAGGAGGAGAGUGGAAUUCCUGGUGUAGCGGUGAAAUGCGCAGAUAUCAGGAAGAACACCCGUGGCGAAGGCGGCUCUCUGGGACGGUACUGACGCUGAGACGCGAAAGCGUGGGGGAGCGAACAGG